rnacentral:rRNA from 1 species
GACGAACGCUGGCGGCGUGCUUAACACAUGCAAGUCGAACGGAAAGGCCCUGCUUUUGUGGGGUGCUCGAGUGGCGAACGGGUGAGUAACACGUGAGUAACCUGCCCUUGACUUUGGGAUAACUUCAGGAAACUGGGGCUAAUACCGGAUAGGAGCUCCUGCUGCAUGGUGGGGGUUGGAAAGAUUCGGCGGUUGGGGAUGGACUCGCGGCUUAUGAGCUUGUUGGUGGGGUAGUGGCUUACCAAGGCUUUGACGGGUAGCCGGCCUGAGAGGGUGACCGGCCACAUUGGGACUGAGAUACGGCCCAGACUCCUACGGGAGGCAGCAGUGGGGAAUAUUGCACAAUGGGCGGAAGCCUGAUGCAGCAACGCCGCGUGCGGGAUGACGGCCUUCGGGUUGUAAACCGCUUUCGCCUGUGACGAAGCGUGAGUGACGGUAAUGGGUAAAGAAGCACCGGCUAACUACGUG